ensembl:lncRNA
UUCACAGCAGAGGGGAUCCCACAGCCAUUUCAAAGAUUUACUACAUGUCAGAAAGUUUAUCUGAUGAGAUACCUCAUCUGUGAAGAGCCUGGCCAGGAUGUUCCAGGUCACCUUCUUCACAUCCUGACCUCCAAUUGUGGCCAAAGCAGAAAUCUAAAAGGCAAAGACAUCUUGUUUUAAGUAGACAGCAAGACAUCUCGGAAAUGGGGGACAGCAUAAGGAGUUCCAUUACUAAGGUGCUGCCGGACCUGUCUGCCUCAAUCCUUGAAAUUGUAUUGGAGGCACUACAAUCAUUAGGAGUGGAGACAUCUGAGGACUUGCAGUUCAUCAGUGAGACUGAUCUGAACUCUGUCCUGGGACCAGUUCAGGCAAGAAAACUGCUGGCUGCCUGGAAACAAACCACACCAAAUACGGACAUUUCAAGCCAGGCCAUCAUAUCGUCUCCAUCUUCUUGCUCCUCAUUUUCUGCCUCCCCCUCACCCAGUCCAAUAUGUUCUCUAGACUGGGUAGAUUAAUUUAGAAUUCCAUGUGAAGAUUUUCCAGAAGACUUGAUCCAGUGUCUUC